AUGGCAGUUCUGCUGAAAACAGCGUCAGUCCGGGUUAAUUUCAUUCAAAUCAUGCAAGUUAGAGUCCAAAACAAGGGCAAAAGUGUUUGGAAAAGUAGAUACGUUGGAGAUGUAUCACUCACGCCACCUAGAACACCACAACGUAAUGGUGUGUCCGAAUGUCGUAACCGCACUUUAUUCGAUAUGGUGCGAUCUAUGAUGUCUCUUACCGAUUUACCACUAUCGUUUUGGGGAUAUGCAUUAGAGACAGCUGCAUUCAUGUUAAACAGGGCACCGUCAAAAACCGUUGAGACGGCACCAUAUGAACUGUGGUUUGUCAACAAACCUAAGCUGUCAUUUCUUAAAGUUUGGGGAUGCGAUGCUUAUGUUAAAAGGCUUUAG
rnacentral:rRNA from 1 species